ensembl:processed_transcript C230004F18Rik RIKEN cDNA C230004F18 gene
AGCUUCAGAGCUGAUGGAGAGACAGAGAGCACGCAACUGGAAAAAAUCAGACAUGGAAUUCAUGGAUUAACUGGUCACCAAUUGUUUCAGCAUUGCGUAUUGAAUAAUACAACCUUCUUCCACUGCCGUGAAAUGUCAACAGCUGCUCUCCCACUAGAUAGGGCGUAGCUUUCCACAGGUCGGCCAUUUUCUUUCUAUUCAAGAUGGUUACAUUCCACAAUAGUACUUUUACCUUCUUGCCACAUCAUGCAGCCUGCUAAACCAUUGUGUUUAUAUAUUUUACCUUUCAAGAAUCCUAGCUGUAUACAGUUUAGAACAGUAAUUUUCAAAUAGGGUAUAUAUAUAUAUAUAUAUNNNNNNNNNNNNNNNUCUGACAUUCCAGUUGUGUAUUUAAAAGGAAGUACUGAAGGGGUUAAUGCAAAAUUUUUCUGUUCCUCAAGUAUUCAGAGAGUUAAAGCUGUGUGAAUUUGGUUCCUGGAAUUCUCUAGAGGGAAAUAAGAGGGAAAUGUAAGAAAUGCAUGAGAUGCAGAAAUGUUUUCAAUUAUGUUGCUGGAAGUAAUACGAUCUCGGGAUCUAAAGGAUGGAGGGUAAGUCUCAAUACAUGCUACCACUGUCAUUAUAUCUUCAAGACGUGAAAACAUCGCUGUGGUCCAUCUCUAUUUACUGCAAGCAGAAGGGUCAAGACAGAAAACAUAGAGGCUUUUAGUAGGAGGUAAGUUAAACAGUAACAGAAGUAUUUGACAGUUAAAAAUCACCUGCUGUUCUCUGUUUCACCCUUUACUCCAUCCCAGUUCCAUCCACCCACCCACCCCCUGCCUAUUGACUUCUAACCACAGUCACUGGUCUUUUCUGAUUUUGGACAGAAAAAGAGGGUAAGUAUCAGGUUGCUUUCUUUGCCUGCUGUUAUUGCAAGGGACUCUUUUGGCUCAUAGACACAGCUCCAGUCAUUUCCUGACUUGCCAUAUUAGGCUGUGAUUUGUUUAUGACUGGAGUCUGGUUUCCCUGGCAACAGAAGCUCACCAGGGCAUGCGCAUUGGCUCAUCUGCAGUGGCAGAAUGCGGCUGUGGGGCCUUGGGGAGGGAUCCCCCCCCCCCCCCCCCCCCCCCCCCCCCGCCUCCACACCCCCGCAGUGACUGGAAGAGGUAUUCUACAGACGUCAGUUUUUCUCUUCUUAAACUGCGACUGUUAACUGCAGAUAAGCAUAGCAUUUUUUUAAAUCCUCACAAUACUUCGAGAUUUCUCCCUUGUUUUCUCUCCUAGCACAGCCACAGUCAAUAGGUUCACCAGUGAUCAUGACGUUUUUCCAGUUAUUAUGGAAAAUAUCCCUAGGGUCCAAAGGGAUCCUUAUAGUGUGGCUAUAGAAAACAAAUGGCCUAGUUUCAAAGCUCCAUCUCUUUCUUGAUAGUUGUAUGAAAUUCUUUAGUCAUCCUGUGUCUCAGCUUCCUCAGCCAUAAAAUAUGAAUAAUAACAGCACAUUUAGAAAAAUGUUACAUAUUAAACAUUAAAAAGUAUUCCUUAUUGUUAUUUGUAGAUGUCAAAAAAUUAUGUGGCACAGACUGGUGCCUGCACUGUACAGCCAAUGCUGAACAAAUUACAGACACAGGCAUUUAACCCUACAGAAUGCAGACACCUCACAUAGCCCACAGAUGACCUACAGCAGAGUGUUGCACUCUCCUGAGGCUCAUUACUAUAUACCAUAGCAAAAGAAUAGCCCCUUAUCACAUGGACACCUUCCAUGACAUUAGGCUCUUUUAGAUUGCACACAAGUUCUCUUCAACACAGAGGCCAAGCUAAAGGACAUUUAUUAGAAACACAUGGUGCAUCUUACCUCACCAUGAAGACAUUGUCUGUAACAAAGAGAAAAUCUCAACACUAUAGCUCAUCUCCACAUCACACGGACUCUAUCCAGAACACACAAAAGUAUAUAGACUUAUUCUGUACAACAUAGAUUCUUCC